rnacentral:rRNA from 1 species
GCCUACGGGGGGCAGCAGUGAGGAAUAUUGGUCAAUGGCCGAGAGGCUGAACCAGCCAAGUCGCGUGAGGGAUGACGGCCCUACGGGUUGUAAACUGCUUUUAGUUGGGAAUAAAAGGGGGCUCGUGAGCCCCGUAUUGUAUGUACCAUCAGAAAAAGGACCGGCUAAUUCCGUGCCAGCAGCCGCGGUAAUACGGAAGGUCCGGGCGUUAUCCGGAUUUAUUGGGUUUAAAGGGAGCGUAGGCCGGCUUUUAAGUCAGCUGUGAAAGUCCGCGGCUCAACCGUGGAAUUGCAGUUGAAACUGGG